rnacentral:rRNA from 1 species
UAAUACGUAGGGGGCAAGCGUUGUCCGGAUUUAUUGGGCGUAAAGAGCGUGUAGGCGGCCGCACAGGUCCGUUGUGAAAACUGGAGGCUUAACCUUCAGACGUCGAUGGAAACCGUGCGGCUAGAGUCCGGAAGAGGAGAGUGGAAUUCCUGGUGUAGCGGUGAAAUGCGCAGAUAUCAGGAAGAACACCCGUGGCGAAGGCGGCUCUCUGGGACGGUACUGACGCUGAGACGCGAAAGCGUGGGGAGCGAACAGGAUUAGAUACCCUGGUAGUCCACGCCGUAAACGAUGGGUGCUAGGUGUGGGGGGUGUCGACUCCCCCCGUGCCGAAGCUAACGCAUUAAGCACCCCGCCUGGGGAGUACGGCCGCAAGGCUA